GGAGAAGUACCGAAGUGGUCACAACGGGGCCGACUCGAAAUCGGCUGAGAGCCUUUAAAGUUCUCCGUGGGUUCGAAUCCCACCUUCUCCG
rnacentral:tRNA from 1 species